rnacentral:rRNA from 1 species
AUUUAGAGGAAGGAGAAGUCGUAACAAGGUUUCCGUAGGUGAACCUGCGGAAGGAUCAUUGUCAAAACCUGUGCAGCAUGACCCGCGAAUCGUUUGCAAUCGUCUCUUGUACGAACUCGAGUCGCUCCAGUAGCCCUCGAGCGAACAACAACCGGCACGGCGAUGUGCCAAGGAAAUAACAAAUGGAAGUAACUCGUCUCAUUGGCGGCUUAGCCCGUGAGACGGUGUUGGCAUUCCGAAUUCUCGAAUGACUCUCGGCAACGGAUAUCUCGGCUCUCGCAUCGAUGAAGAACGUAGCGAAAUGCGAUACUUGGUGUGAAUUGCAGAAUCCCGUGAACCAUCGAGUCUUUGAAUGCAAGUUGCGCCCGAGGCCAUCAGGUCAAGGGCACGUCUGCCUGGGCGUCACGCUAUGCGCCACACUCGACCCCUACACAGCCAGUGAGAGGGAGGGAGUGGAAAUUGGCCUCCCGUGACCUGUGCACGGUUGGUUGAAAAAGAUUGUCCUUGGUAGCACGACGAUGCGAUCACAGGUGGUUUGAUGAAACCUCUUCAGCACGAUGUGAUCGAGCAUUUGCUAGCAGGGGCCAACGAGACCCUCGUGGAUUCAUUACCAUGCGACCCCAGGUCAGGCGGGGCCACCCGCUGAGUUUA